rnacentral:rRNA from 1 species
GACGUAGGGCGCGAGCGUUGUCCGGAUUUAUUGGGCGUAAAGAGCUCGUAGGCGGCUUGUUGCGUCAGCUGUGAAAACUCGGGGCUUAACCCCGAGCCUGCAGUGGAUACGGGCAGACUAGAGGUAGGUAGGGGGAGAAUGGAAUUCCCGGUGUAGCGGUGAAAUGCGCAGAUAUCGGGAGGAACACCGGUGGCGAAGGCGGUCUCUGGGCCUUACCUGACGCUGAGGAGCGAAAGCGUGGGGAGCGAACAGG